UNCACGCCGUAAACGCUGAGUGCUAGGUGUUAGNUCCUUUCCGGGACUUAGUGCCGACGCUAACGCAUUAAGCACUCCGCCUGGGGAGUACGACCGCAAGGUUGAAACUCAAAGGAAUUGACGGGGGCCCGCACGAGCGGUGGAGCAUGUGGUUUAAUUCGAAGCAACGCGAAGAACCUUACCAGGUCUUGACAUCCCGAUGCCCGCUCUAGAGAUAGAGUUUUUCUUCGGAACAUCGGAGACAGGUGGUGCAUGGUUGUCGUCAGCUCGUGUCGUGAGAUGUUGGGUUAAGUCCCGCAACGAGCGCAACCCUUAUUGUUAGUUGCCAUCAUUAAGUUGGGCACUCUAGCGAGACUGCCGGUAAUAAACCGGAGGAAGGUGGGGAUGACGUCAAAUCAUCAUGCCCCUUAUGACCUGGGCUACACACGUGCUACAAUGGUUGGUACAACGAGUCGCAAGCCGGUGACGGCAAGCUAAUCUCUGAAAGCCAAUCUCAGUUCGGAUUGUAGGCUGCAACUCGCCUACAUGAA
rnacentral:rRNA from 1 species